GGAACGCAAUUAAACAAAACCUUAAUUCCAUCGAAUGUUAGGGCAGGCAACGAUUAAAAUUCAAUGAAUCCUACGACAAACAAAGUACGGAAUCCCCUGAAUCGAUCGACCUUAGGUUUUUUGCUCUACGACACAGAUCUCGCUUCAAAUAUGUAAGUUUGUUUAAAAGAAUUAAUUUUAUUUUUUUUGUGUGUAAACUGUGAAUUUAUGUUUAAGAUUUGUAUGAUCAGUUGUUGAUUUGAAAAUAUUUCUCUAAAGGUUUGAUUUUUAUCGUAAAUUCUCCACUAUGUGUCAAUUAUUUGCUGUUAAAAAUCAAAUCUUAAUUUUCCUUUUAUUGUAAUUUGUUUGAAGGUUUGUUUUAUGAAAAUAUUUCUCUAAAGGUUUGAUUUUUGUUGUAAAUUCCACUCUAUGUCAAUUAUUUGUUGUUAAAAAUCAAAUCUUGAUUUUCUCUGUCAAUUAUUUGCUGUUAAAAAUCAAAUCUUGAUUUUCCCUUUAUUGUAAUUUGUUUGAAGGUUUGAUUUAUUAAUAAUUUUGUAUGUAAACGCAGGUGCAAAUUUGGUGGAUAUGGAGCUGCUUAGUGAGCCCGGUUUAUCGAAAAAUUUUGGUGAUUAUAUUCAGUUCUUGAAGGCUAUGUUUCAAGAGUCGGUUUGCAUCAGAAUAUCUGCUAUACGGUCAGCUAGCCGUUUUGCGUAGCUAUUCGUCUUUGUUGAUCGAUUAUCUCGGAAAUAUGACAGGUAAGUUUUCUGGCAAUUAUAACUUGUGAUAAUUGUAUUUACGCACAUUUUUGGUACCAUAACUUGCUUAAGCAAAACACCAGCUAAUAUACUUAGAAUUGGAAUUGCUUACUACGAGUAAUUAAAUGGAAUUUAAACUUCUACCUGAAUGAAGAUUUGCUUAUUCUCAAACGAGGUAAACCAAGAUUACUUGCCGACAGAUUAGAUUUAAAUUUUCUAAACUCCACUUGAAAAGUUCCUUGUUGAAACUCGUUUUCACACAUCACUUAUCGACUAGUCGCGAACUAGAAACACAUCGAUAAUAGAACGUGCAACGCUCGAACUUUUUCGACAGUAAGAAAAAAAACUAACUAGAUUAAUUGGUUUAGAAACCUGCAACUCAACAUGUUCGAUAGAAAAGAAGAACAAAAACUACGGUAACUUGUUCGAUCUUCAUUUUUUUUUUCAUGCCGAUACGACUAUUCUUCGUAAUUCGGCAUUCCUUAACGUGAGCGACCUCUAGAUAUUUGUCCAUCUGGAGUAGAAACUCACAGUGGGGGCACUGGAAGGGUAUCACAUUUAUAUGUGCCUCGGAUUGCACGAUUCUGUUUGAUUUGUCGAACAUUUUUUCGAUCUCUUUUGCCUUGUUCUUUGUCUUUUUCGUCAUGCUUGUUGAGAUCUCGUUUUUUCUUAAAGUUAACCUGCAUUGUAAAAAAGUAACCGAUAAAUUAUCGUUUCAUUUUCUUUCUUUCUCAAAACAUCAAGAUUAUAAGUCUGCACUAGCUACGGUGAUCUGAACCGAAUUCGAACGUCGUUUCCACUCGAUUCGAUUCGGUGAAAUUCAUAAUACAAUACAGACACACGAAG